rnacentral:lncRNA from 10 species
AUGUUGCUAUCUGACAAGCACAGCAUGGGCUCAGCGCACAGAGAGGAGGCACCAGGCGCAGGAAUGAGAGGCAGCUGCCAGGGAAGCCACGGUCUCCAGCAGCCCUUGUCUCUGGGCGGUGAUCCAGAGAGAGAGAACACCAUUGUCUCACCACUCGGUCUUCUUCUGAGUCAUCUUGAAGGAGUACUUCCGGAGCAUCUCGGGGUUAAACAUCAUGUUGUGAAUGACUCCGUGAUCUUGGACCCCGUGACCUUGGGGAUAAAGGAGGGGAGUUCUACAGGGCCUGGAGCUGGUACGAAAAACCUCCCUUCUUUCCCAAGUGAUCCGCAGCUUCCCCGUUCACUGAAGGCCCUGCAAUCCGGAACAGUCAGGACUUUGCAUCCAAUUGCUGUGGGUGUUGGGCCGACCCUUCCUCUUGUGUGAUCCACGGACCUGCAGCUUUGCGUCACCUGGGAGCUUUUGGAACUGAAGACUCUCCGGGCUUACCCGGGAGGACUUGCUGGGCCAGAAUCUGCAUUUUAACAAGAUGCCCAGGUGAUUUGCAUACAUGUUCAGAUCUUAGAAGCGCUAGUAGGAGAGGCUUUAAGGUGGUAAUUAGAUCUUUUCUCUAUCUGCAAGAAUCUUAGUUUCUUCAUGUUAAACCUAUUCACUGUGGCAAUGGCAUGGGGGUUAUAAAACAAAACAAAACCCUUACAUCAAGAAUGCACCCUGGUGUGUCAUGGAUGUGGGUGAAAUGACAUGUCUGGCAUUUGCUUUAAAAUAUUCUAAAAUAGCAAGAAGGAAAAGAAAAGUGGGAAUUGGAAUGAGACUGGCAAAAUGUUGACAAGUUCUUACAGUGGGAUGAUGGGUGCAUGGGGGUUCAUGGUACAAUUCUCUCCCUACUUUUUGUGCAUAUGGGAAAUUUCCAUAAUGAAGUUAGAGGUUGGGCAUGGUGGCUCAUGCCUGUAAUCUCAGCAUUUUGGGAGGCUGAGGUGUGUAGAUUUCUUGAGCCUAGGAGUUCAAGACCAUCCUGGACAACAUGGCGAAACCCCGUUUCUACUAAAAAAUGCAAAAAUUAGCCAGGCAUGGUGACGACAAGCCUGUAGUCAUGUUGAGGCAUGAGGUUGAGGUAUGAGAAUCACGUGAACCCAGGAGAUGGAGGUUGCAGUGAGCCGAGAUUGCACCAUUACACUCCAGCCUGGGUGACA